GGCGGCGCCGGUCCCGACGAACUGCGUUCAUUUUGCCUUACCUCCUCGGAGUUGCCUUCAGAGAGACGCUUUGGCCAGCCCCAAACCCCCGCAGGACCCCCGCCGCCCCUCUCCCCGCGGAUGCUGGCCGAUCGCUUCGCCUACGAGACCCCCAACCCCAAAACCUCCUGCCCCCCCUCUCCUUGUGCCGCCGCGGGGCAGGGAGCGACGAAACCAGCGGGAAGGAGCAGACCCCAAAAGGCAAAAAACAACCAAAAAAUAGACAAACACCAACCAACCGAACCCAAACCCAAAUAGGAGAAAGCCAGCGCGGUGCCAACCCCGCCGGCGGCACCGCGCCCGUCCCCGCUGGCAGCCGUGGCGCACCGCCGAGGCCCCGUGCCCACCAGGAGCCCCUCUUUUGGGGCGAGAAACCAGGUUUUGAUGCAAAACGUCCACCCCGUGUGCACGCUGGGUGUGGAUUUGGACGGAUGGCCCCCGGUGCCAGCUCGGGCUGCGCGACGCCGGCACCGCCGUGCCACCGAGACGCCGGUGCCACCACCCUGGGGGUGCUCGGAGCCUCCUAAAACCACUCGUGGGUGGCCACCGGUGGGCACCACGACCCCGUGGCAGAGCUGGGGGUGUCCCACGGCCUCGUGUCCCCACGGUUUUGGGGUGGCCGGCACCACGGGCGCGGUCCCCAGUUGGUCCCCGGUGUGUGUGCGCGUGGCUCCUGCACCCUGCGCCCACCCUGCGGCACGGGCACCGCGCGUGCCCGGCUCACCGGCGGGUGUGCGCGGGGGGUGCGUGGGGGUGCAAAAACCUCCCCCAGCUUCUCGGUCCUCUCCUCUCGCCGUGCUGCUUGUGCUGGGCUCAGUGCCUCCUGCCCGGGCGCUGCGGACAGGGCCUGAGCAGGAGACGGUUCUUCUUCUUCUCCUCCUUCCUCCUCCUCCUCCUCCUCCUCCUCCUCUUCCUCUCCUUCUCCUUCUCCUUCUUCUCCUUCUCCUUCUCCUUCUCCCUCUCCCCUUCCUCCUUUCCUUCUCCUCCUCCUCUUCCUCUCUUUCUCCUCCUCCUCCUCCUCCUCCUCCUUCUCCUUCUCCUCCUUCUCCCUCUCCUCCUUCUCCUUCUCCUUCUCCUUCUCCUUCUCCUUCUCCUUCUCCUUCUCCUUCUCCUUCUCCUUCUCCUUCUCCUUCUCCUUCUCCUUC
rnacentral:lncRNA from 1 species